UUAAUGGAAGUUCUUUUUUUGUGCCUGUUCCUUGGCUCAAAAUGUGAGAAUGGAUGUUGAUGAGAAGUUACGCAUAUUAAAGUGAGAUUGUGAUUUUGAGUGAGAUGGAAAAGGAGUUUGCUGCAAAUAGAAAAUGCAAAAAUCUGCAAUAUGCAAUUCAAUGAAGUGAAAUCAAGGCAAAGAAAAAGCAUACAGAAAGAGAGUCGGGCUU